rnacentral:rRNA from 1 species
UACGUAGGGACCAAGCGUUGUUCGGAUUUACUGGGCGUAAAGGGCGCGUAGGCGGCGUGGUAAGUCACUUGUGAAAUCUCUGAGCUUAACUCAGAACGGCCAAGUGAUACUGCUGUGCUAGAGUGCAGAAGGGGCAAUCGGAAUUCUUGGUGUAGCGGUGAAAUGCGUAGAUAUUCGCAAGAACACCAGUGGCGAAGGCGGCUCACUGGCCCAUAACUGACGCUGAGGCACGGAAAGCGUGGGGAGCAAACAGG